GGUCAAGCGAAUAAGCGCAUACGGUGGAUGCCUUGGCGGUAGGCGGCGAUGAAGGACGUGGAAGUCUGCGAAAAGUUUCGGUGAGCCGACAACAGGCGUUAUAACCGAAAAUGUCCGAAUGGGGAAACCCGGCCCGUAAGGGUCAUCUGCAUCUGAAUAUAUAGGGUGUGGAAGCUAACCCGGAGAACUGAAAUAUCUCAGUACCCGGAGGAAAAGAAAUCAACCGAGAUUCCCUAAGUAGCGACGAGCGAACGGGGACUAGCCCAAAAGUCUCAGUGGUUCUAGUGGAAUGGUCCUGGAAAGACCAGCCAUAGAAGGUGAUAGCCCGGUCCACGAAAGGGCCCUUGAGAUGAAAUUGAGUAGGGCGGGACACGUGAAAUCCUGUCUGAACAUGGGGGGACCAUCCUCCAAGGCUAAAUACGACCUACCGACCGAUAGCGAACUAGUACCGUGAGGGAAAGGCGAAAAGAACCCCGGAGAGGGGAGUGAAAUAGAACCUGAAACCGUAUGUGUACAAGCAGUGGAAGCCCGCAAGGGCGACCGCGUACCUUUUGUAUAAUGGGUCAGCGACUUAUGGUUCGUAGCAAGCUUAACCGCAUAGGGAAGGCGAAGGGAAACCGAGUCUGAAUAGGGCGUAAAGUUGCGAGCUGUAGACCCGAAACCGGACGAUCUAGCCAUGGCCAGGGUGAAGGUGCGGUAACACGUACUGGAGGCCCGAACCCACGCCCGUUGAAAAGGUCGGGGAUGAGUUGUGGUUAGGAGUGAAAAGCUAAUCGAGUUCGGAGAUAGCUGGUUCUCCCCGAAAGCUAUUUAGGUAGAGCCUCAAGUAUUACGUCUGGGGGUAGAGCACUGUUAUGGCUAGGGGGUCAUACCGACUUACCAAACCAUGGCAAACUCCGAAUACCAGAACGUAUCAGCUCGGGAGACACACGGCGGGUGCUAACGUCCGUCGUGAAGAGGAAUACAAUCCAGACCGCCAGCUAAGGUCCCAAAAUUAUCGCUAAGUGGGAAACGAUGUGGGAAGGCAUAGACAGCCAGGAGGUUGGCUUAGAAGCAGCCACCCUUUAAAGAAAGCGUAAUAGCUCACUGGUCGAGUCGGCCUGCGCGGAAGAUUUAACGGGGCUAAGCGAUAUACCGAAGCUGCGGGUUUGUUGAAAGACAAGCGGUAGGGGAGCGUUCCGUAAGCCUGCGAAGGUGGAUCGUAAGGUCUGCUGGAGGUAUCGGAAGUGCGAAUGCUGACAUGAGUAACGAUAAAACGGGUGAAAAGCCCGUUCGCCGAAAGCCAAGGUUUCCUUGCGCAACGUUAAUCGGCGCAGGGUGAGUCGGCCCCUAAGGCGAGGCAGAGAUGCGUAGUCGAUGGGAAGCUGGUUAAUAUUCCAGCACCUCGCGUGACUGCGAUGGGGGGACGGAGAAGGUUAGGUGUACCGGGCGUUGGUUGUCCCGGGGGAGAGGACUGAGGUGGAUCUUCCAGGCAAAUCCGGAAGGUCAACAUUGAGGUCAGGACGAGUCCGCAUGGACGAAGUCACCGAUAUCACGCUUCCAGGAAAAGCCUCUAAGCUUCAGGUCACGAGAGACCGUACCGUAAACCGACACAGGUAGGCAGGAUGAGAAUUCUCAGGCGCUUGAGAGAACUUGGGUGAAGGAACUAGGCAAAAUAGUACCGUAACUUCGGGAGAAGGUACGCCAGCACUUAAUUGUGUUGGCCGCAGUAACCAGGCCGCUGCGACUGUUUAUCAAAAACACAGCACUCUGCAAACACGAAAGUGGACGUAUAGGGUGUGACGCCUGCCCGGUGCCGGAAGGUUAAUUGAUGGGGUGCAAGCUCUUGAUCGAAGCCCCGGUAAACGGCGGCCGUAACUAUAACGGUCCUAAGGUAGCGAAAUUCCUUGUCGGGUAAGUUCCGACCUGCACGAAUGGCGUAACGACAGCGGCGCUGUCUCCACCCAAGGCUCAGUGAAAUUGAAAUCGCUGUGAAGAUGCAGCGUUCCCGCGGCAAGACGGAAAGACCCCGUGAACCUUUACUAUAGCUUCACACUGAACGUUGAGUUCGUCUGUGUAGGAUAGGUGGGAGCCUACGAAGCGUUGGCGCUAGCUGAUGUGGAGGCAACCUUGAAAUACCACCCUGAUGUGCUUGACGUUCUAACCUGGGUCCGUAAUCCGGAUCGGGGACAGUGUGUGGUGGGUAGUUUGACUGGGGCGGUCUCCUCCCAAAGAGUAACGGAGGAGCACGAAGGUGCGCUCAGCACGGUCGGACAUCGUGCGUAGUGUGUAAAGGCAUAAGCGCGCUUGACUGCGAGAUCGACGGAUCAAGCAGGUACGAAAGUAGGUCUUAGUGAUCCGGUGGUUCUGUAUGGAAGGGCCAUCGCUCAACGGAUAAAAGGUACUCCGGGGAUAACAGGCUGAUACCGCCCAAGAGUUCAUAUCGACGGCGGUGUUUGGCACCUCGAUGUCGGCUCAUCACAUCCUGGGGCUGUAGCCGGUCCCAAGGGUAUGGCUGUUCGCCAUUUAAAGUGGUACGCGAGCUGGGUUCAGAACGUCGUGAGACAGUUCGGUCCCUAUCUGCCGUGGGCGUUAGAAACUUGAGGGUGAUUUGCUCCUAGUACGAGAGGACCGGAGUGAACGUACCUCUGGUGUUCCGGUUGUCACGCCAGUGGCAUUGCCGGGUAGCUAAAUUCCGGAAGCGAUAACCGCUGAAAGCAUCUAAGCGGGAAGCGCGCCCCAAGAUGAGAUCUCUCCCUCCUUGAGAGGAUAAGAGCCCAGGAAGACCACCUGGUUGAUAGGCGCGGUGUGUAAGCGUGGUAACACGUUGAGCUUACGCGUACUAAUUGCUCGAAGGCUUGACCAU
rnacentral:rRNA from 1 species